rnacentral:rRNA from 1 species
UACGGAGGGUGCGAGCGUUGUCCGGAAUCACUGGGCGUAAAGGGCGCGUAGGUGGCCUGUGGAAGUCAGCGGUGAAAUCUCCGGGCUCAACCCGGAAACUGCCAUUGAUACUAUUGGUCUUGAAUGUUGUUGAGGUGGGCGGAACGGGUCAUGUAGCGGUGAAAUGCAUAGAUAUGACCCGGAACACCGAUUGCGAAGGCAGCCCACUAAGCAAUGAUUGACGCUGAGGCACGAAAGCGUGGGGAUCAAACAGG